ACCCGCUGAACUUAAGCAUAUCACUAAGCGGAGGAAAAGAAACUAACCAGGAUUCCCCUAGUAACGGCGAGUGAACCGGGAAGAGCUCAAGCUGAAAAUCUUUGGAAUUGUAGUCUAUAGGUGCUUACUCGCGCAGAUCCGGGUAUAAAUCCGUUCUUGGAAUUGGGUGCCAGAGAGGGUUAGAGCCCCGUCUUUGACUCGGACAUCUGUGCGUGAUGAGUAAUCACCGGAGAGUCGGCUUGCUUGGGAAUGCAGGCCAAAAUGGGUGGUAAACUUCAUCUAAAGCUAAAUAUUGGCGAGAGACCGAUAGCGAACAAGUACUGUGAAGGAAAGAUGGAAAGAACUUUGAAAAGAGAGUGAAAAAGGGCUUGAAAUUGUUAAGAGGAGAAGUGAUUGGAGCAUAUCAUACGGCGUGGGGUCCCAGAGUUACGACUUGUCGUGGCUUGCACCAUCCCGCGUUGUUGGUCAGCAUCGAUUUUGUGUGGGGGAGAAAGCUGUUACUGUUGAUGGCUCCGGCUUGAUCGGUUUCGGUGCAACCCCGGAUGGGAUCGAGGCAGCAAGUCUGCGCUUGGCGGCCGGCCCUUUGCCCGCGGCGGGCAACGUUCAACACCCUUUUUGGCGUCUUGGAUGUUGUGUGACGUGAUGCAAGAGAGCGCUGGACCUGCAGACUUAAGAUGCUGGCACAAAUGGCUUCAAUCAGCCCGUCUUGAAACACGGACCAAGGAGUCUAACACGUAUGCGAGUAGUAAGGUGGCAAACCUUGGAUGCGCAAUGAAAGUGAAUGUAGGUGGGAUCCGCAAGGUGCACCAUCGACCGACCAGGAUCUUCUGUGAAAGGUUUGAGUAAGAGCAUAUUUGUUGGGACCCGAAAGAUGGUGAACUAUGCCUGAAUAGGGUGAAGCCGGAGGAAACUCCGGUGGAGGCUCGUAGCGGUACUGACGUGCAAAUCGUUCGUCAAAUUUGGGUAUAGGGGCGAAAGACUAAUCGAACCAUCUAGUAGCUGGUUCCCUCCGAAGUUUCCCUCAGGAAAGG
rnacentral:rRNA from 1 species